rnacentral:rRNA from 1 species
AUUGAACGCUGGCGGCAGGCCUAACACAUGCAAGUCGAACGAGUGGCGGACGGGUGAGUAAUGUCUGGGAAACUGCCUGAUGGAGGGGGAUAACUACUGGAAAAGGUCGCUAAUACCGCAUACCAUCGGAUGUGCCUAGACUGGAUUAGCUAGUAGGUGGGGUAAAGGCUCCCCUAGGCGACGAUCCCUAGCUGGUCUGAGAGGAUGACCAGCCACACUGGAACUGAGCCACGGUCCAGACUCCUACGGGAGGCAGCAGUGGGGAAUAUUGGACAAUGGGCGCAAGCCUGAUGGAGCCAUGCCGCGUGUAUGAAGAAGGCCUUCGGAUUGUAAAGUGCUUUCAUCGGGGAUGCGUUACCCGCAGAAGAAGCACCGGCUAACUCCGUGCCAGCAGCCGCGGUAAUAC